rnacentral:pre_miRNA from 1 species
AGUUAAAAAACUAAAUCAUGAUAGAUCAAGAACAAAUAUCAUGUAAAUUGCUUUUUUAAAUCAACUACACGAUAUUCGUUCUUGAGCUUAAUGGUUCUAGAGCUG